rnacentral:rRNA from 1 species
GAUGAACGCUGGCGGCGUGCCUAAUACAUGCAAGUCGAGCGAACAGAUGAGGAGCUUGCUCCUCUGACGUUAGCGGCGGACGGGUGAGUAACACGUGGAUAACCUACCUAUAAGACUGGGAUGACUUCGGGAAACCGGAGCUAAUACCGGAUAAUAUAUUGAACCGCAUGGUUCAAUAGUGAAAGACGGUUUUGCUGUCACUUAUAGAUGGAUCCGCGCCGCAUUAGCUAGUUGGUAAGGUAACGGCUUACCAAGGCAACGAUGCGUAGCCGACCUGAGAGGGUGAUCGGCCACACUGGAACUGAGACACGGUCCAGACUCCUACGGGAGGCAGCAGUAGGGAAUCUUCCGCAAUGGGCGAAAGCCUGACGGAGCAACGCCGCGUGAGUGAUGAAGGUCUUCGGAUCGUAAAACUCUGUUAUUAGGGAAGAACAAAUGUGUAAGUAACUAUGCACGUCUUGACGGUACCUAAUCAGAAAGCCACGGCUAACUACGUG